rnacentral:rRNA from 1 species
CCAGCAAUGCCGCGUGGGUGAAGAAGGUCUUCGGAUUGUAAAGCCCUUUCGACGGGGACGAUGAUGACGGUACCCGUAGAAGAAGCCCCGGCUAACUUCGUGCCAGCAGCCGCGGUAAUACGAAGGGGGCUAGCGUUGCUCGGAAUGACUGGGCGUAAAGGGCGCGUAGGCGGUUUGUACAGUCAGAUGUGAAAUUCCCGGGCUCAACCUGGGGGCUGCAUUUGAUACGUAUAGACUUGAGUUCGGAAGAGGGUCGUGGAAUUCCCAGUGUAGAGGUGAAAUUCGUAGAUAUUGGGAAGAACACCGGUGGCGAAGGCGGCGACCUGGUCCGAUACUGACGCUGAGGCGCGAAAGCGUGGGGAACAAACAGGAUUAGAUACCCUGGUAGUCCACGCUGUAAACGAUGUGUGCUGGAUGUUGGGUGACCUAGUCAUUCAGUGUCGUAGCUAACGCGAUAAGCACACCGCCUGGGGAGUACGGCCGCAAGGUUGAAACUCAAAGGAAUUGACGGGGGCCCGCACAAGCGGUGGAGCAUGUGGUUUAGUUCGAAGCAACGCGCAGAACCUUACCAGGGCUUGACAUGGGGAGGCCGUAUCCAGAGAUGGGUAUUCCCGCAAGGGCCUCCUGCACAGGUGCUGCAUGGCUGUCNUCAGCUCGUGUCGUGAGAUGUUGGGUUAAGUCCCGCANCGAGCGCAACCCUCGCCUUUAGUUGCCAUCNNGUUUNGCUGGGCACUCUAAAGGAACUGCCGGUGACNGCCNGAGGGAAGGUGGGGAUGACGUCAAGUCCGUCAUGG